rnacentral:rRNA from 1 species
GAUGAACGCUGGCGGCGUGCCUAAUACAUGCAAGUCGAGCGAACAGAUGAGGAGCUUGCUCCUCUGACGUUAGCGGCGGACGGGUGAGUAACACGUGGAUAACCUACCUAUAAGACUGGGCUAACUUCGGGAAACCGGAGCUAAUACCGGAUAAUAUAUUGAACCGCAUGGUUCAAUAGUUAAAGACGGUUUUGCUGUCACUUAUAGAUGGAUCCGCGCCGCAUUAGCUAGUUGGUAAGGUAACGGCUUACCAAGGCAACGAUGCGUAGCCGACCUGAAAGGGAGAACGGCUACACUGGAACUGAGACACGGUCCAGACUCCGACGGGAGGAAGCAGUAGGGAAUCUUCCGCAAUGGGCGAAAGCUUGACGGAGCAACGCCGCGUGAGUGAUGAAGGUCUUCGGAUCGUAAAACUCUGUUAUUAGUGAAGAACAAAUGUGUAAGUAACUAUGCACGUCUUGACGGUACCUAAUCAGAAAGCCACGGCUAACUACGUG